rnacentral:rRNA from 1 species
AUAGAGACUCAGAGCUGCAUAUCAAUAAGCGGAGGAAAAGAAACUAACAAGGAUUCCCUUAGUAACGGCGAGUGGAAGCGGGAAGAGCUCAAAUUUGAAAUCUUCAAGGUUCUACCUUGACGAAUUGUAGUUUAUAGAAGUGUUUUCUGUUAGUAGAGUGGCAAAAGUUCUUUGGAAUAGGACAUCAUAGAGGGUGAGAAUCCCGUAUUUGGUCAUUCUUUCUAGCUUUGUGAUACACUUUCAACGAGUCGGAUUGUUUGGGAAUGCAGUCCAAAAUGGGUGGUAAAUUUCAUCUAAAGCUAAAUAUUGGCGAGAGACCGAUAGCGAACAAGUACCGUGAGGGAAAGAUGAAAAGAACUUUGAAAAGAGAGUUAAACAGUACGUGAAAUUGUCAAAAGGGAAGCGUUUGACACCGGUGUUGUUUAGUUGAAAAUCAAUUAAAUAUUUUUCGAUUUUAAGUAGUAUUGACCUUAUCAGCUUGCUGCUUUUUUCUCGGAAAUUAUUUAAUGCACUUUUCAGUUAACAAGUCAACAUCAAUUUCUUUUGUUGUAAAAAGGUAAGAGGAAGGUGGCUUGCGCUUCGGCUCAAGUGUUUAUAGCCUUUUACCCCUGCAAUCGGAGAGAUUGAGGUCUGCAGCGUAGAUCCUUCGGGGUUAGAUACAUUUGUGCUAAGCUAUAGCCUUGUAUAGACAACUUGUUGACUAUGCUCAGUCAUGUAGCUUACUCGCUUAUGCUAUUUUACCUACGCUUAGGAUGUUGAUAUGCAUGACUGAUAU